rnacentral:rRNA from 1 species
AGGACGAACGCUGGCGGCGUGCUUAACACAUGCAAGUCGAGCGAGAGCCUGGAAGCUUGCUUCCAGGGGACAGCGGCGAACGGGUGCGUAACACGUGGGCAACCUGCCCCUCUCUCUGGGAUAACCCCGGGAAACCGGAGCUAAUACCGGAUACUCCGGCUGGAUCGCAUGGUCCGGUCGGGAAAGGUCCGCCGGAGAGGGAUGGGCCCGCGGCCUAUCAGCUUGUUGGUGAGGUAACGGCUCACCAAGGCGACGACGGUUA